CAUUUGUGAGCAUUCCAAAUUUUUCCUUUUUUUUUUUUCUUUCUCAGCCAAAGGGCGGGGGGCUUCGUGUCCUUCGCUAGGGUUUCAAUUUCCCUUUGGCUUUGAAAUUUUUUGUUUUCUGGGUCUCGAGGAAUUUUGAUGUUGGCAUUCGUGUACGCGUAACACAUCGAGGAUUUUGAAGAGAUCUGUUAUACUUUGAAGAAUGCCUUCCUCAGACAGUCAUGGAUCCACUAUGCCGUUUGCUUCGUUUCGUCGGUCUAUCUUGACCAUUAGAAGCGAUCAGGUUCAUACGGAAAUGAGCCAUGAUCCAAAUAUGCAGGACCUGGAAUUAUUUCAAAGACAAGUCUUUGCCCGGUUUCAUGAGCUUUCACUGGCUAAAGCUGAUGACUUCCUCUCCGUUUCUUGGAUACAAAAGCUGUUAGAUGCAUUUACUGGCUGUCAAGAGGAUUUCAGAGCCAUUCUUUGUAAAAAUAAAGUGCUGCUUUCAAAACCACCAGCAGAUAAGUUUGCUACUGAAUACUUUGAUCGGGCCAUUAAGGCAAUGGAUAUCUUUAAUGCAACUCGUGAUGGUCUUGAGACAGUUCGUCUGUGGCAGAAACACUUAGAGAUAAUAGUGUGCGCUCUUGAUUCUAACUCGAAGAUGAUUGGCGAAGGUCAGUUGCGUCGAGCAAGAAAAGCCUUGAUGGAUUUGGCACUUCUGAUGCUAGAUGACAAAGAUACUGGUUCUGUAUUUUCACAUAGAAACCGGUCUUUUGGUCGUAAAGGCAAGGAUCACCAUCGUGGUCCAUCAGGGCACUCUAGAUCACUAUCUUGGAGUGUAUCACAUACUUGGUCAGCUUCUAAGCAGCUCCAGUCUUUUGCCAACAAUUUGCUUUCACCUCGUGCAAAUGAAGUGACAGCCACUAAUGGUCUGGCUAUGCUCAUCUUUUCGAUGAGCUUUAUUGUCAUGUUUGUUUUAUGGGUUCUUGUUGCUGCAAUCCCCUGUCAAGAUCGAGGUGUUCAAAUUCAUUUUGCAAUCCCUCGUCAAUUCCCAUGGACUUCACCAUUCUUUUUGCUUCAUAGUCGGAUAAUGGAUGAAUCCAAGAAGAGAGAUCGACGUAAUUCCAGUGGAUUAUUAAAGGAAAUAUAUGAAAUAGAGAAGUGUGUGCAUCAGAUGACUGACUUGGUAGAUGCGGCUCAGUUCCCACUGUCGGAGGAACUGAAGGAAGAACUAAGAGAGAAUGUAGAGGAGUUGUCGGUAGUUUGUCAAGCUUUCAAGACUGGACUGGAUCCACUAGAACGGAAGUUGCGGGAUACAUUCAGGAAGGUUAUGAGUUGCCGCACUGAGGGUCUUGAUUUACUAGGCAAGGCUACUGAACCAUAACGAAGCGGUGUGGGAAGGAAGAAAAAAUUGCAAAUAUUUUAUCAUAUUAGUUUUUACCAGCUUAAUUGAAGGGAAGCAGUCAGAUUGUUGCCAACAGUAAUAUAUUUAUCAGGUUUGUUUACAUGGGUUUCAAUGAUUGGCCUCAGAAUCCAGUGAGAUUAUUCCUGGCAAAAAUCUGGCACUGAAACUGAAGUAAACUACCAAUUCUGAGUCAUUUCUCGGCAGUAGCUGUAUUUCUUAAUUUGGUGAGCAAAAGUAAUGUAGUAGGGAUUAAGAAUUAUGGUUGAGAAGAUACAUAGAGAAUAGAAGAACAAUAUCAAGAAAAAUGUUAGCUGCACAUGAUGUUCUCCUGUCAAUUAUUACAGAACAAUUUUUAUUUAUUUAUUUUGUGUGGCUAA